rnacentral:rRNA from 1 species
CCUACGGGAGGCAGCAGUGAGGAAUAUUGGUCAAUGGACGGAAGUCUGAACCAGCCAUGCCGCGUGCAGGAAGACGGCUCUAUGAGUUGUAAACUGCUUUUGUACAAGGGUAAACCUGAAUACGUGUAUUCUGCUGAAAGUACUGUACGAAUAAGGAUCGGCUAACUCCGUGCCAGCAGCCGCUGUAAUACGGAGGAUCCAAGCGUUAUCCGGAUUUAUUGGGUUUAAAGGGUGCGUAGGCGGAUUGAUAAGUUAGAGGUGAAAUGUCCGAGCUCAACUCGGGAACUGCCUCUAAUACUGUUGAUCUAGAGAGUAGAUGCGGUAGGCGGAAUGUAUGGUGUAGCGGUGAAAUGCUUAGAGAUCAUACAGAACACCGAUUGCGAAGGCAGCUUACCAAUCUAUAUCUGACGUUGAGGCACGAAAGCGUGGGGAGCAAACAGGAUUAGAUACCCCGGUAGUC